rnacentral:rRNA from 1 species
GACGAACGCUGGCGGCGUGCCUAAUACAUGCAAGUAGAACGCUGAAGAGAGGAGCUUGCUCUUCUUGGUUGAGUUGCGAACGGGGGAGUAACGCGUAGGGAACCUGCCUUGUAGCGGGGGAUAACUAUUGGAAACGAUAGCUAAUACCGCAUAACAAUGGAUGACACAUGUCAUUUAUUUGAAAGGGGCAAUUGCUCCACUACAAGAUGGACCUGCGUUGUAUUAGCUAGUAGGUGAGGUAAUGGCUCACCUAGGCGACGAUACAUAGCCGACCUGAGAGGGUGAUCGGCCACACUGGGACUGAGACACGGCCCAGACUCCUACGGGAGGCAGCAGGAGGGAAUCUUCGGCAAUGGGGGCAACCCUGACCGAGCAACGCCGCGUGAGAGAAGAAGGUUUUCGGAUCGGAAAGCUCUGUUGUAAGUCAAGAACGGGAGUGAGAGUGGAAAGUUCACACUGUGACGGUAGCUGAACAGAAAGGGACGGCUAACUACGUG